rnacentral:rRNA from 1 species
CCUACGGGUGGCAGCAGUGAGGAAUAUUGGUCAAUGGUCGGGAGACUGAUCCAGCUAUUCCGCGUGUGGGAUGACGGCCUUCGGGUUGUAAACCACUUUUGUAGAGAACGAAAAGUCUGUUGAUAAUACCGAUAGAUGAUGACGGUACUCUAAGAAUAAGCACCGGCUAACUACGUGCGAGCAGCCGCGGUAAUACGUAGGGUGCGAGCGUUAAUCGGAAUUACUGGGCGUAAAGGAUGUGCAGGCGGUUUUGCAAGAUGUAUGUGAAAGACCCGGGCUUAACCUGGGAAAGCCAUACAUGACUGCAAGACUAGAGUGCGUCAGAGGUGAGUGGAAUUCCAAGUGUAGCAGUGAAAUGCGUAGAUAUUUGGAAGAACACCGAUGGCGAAGGCAGCCCCCUGGGACGCAACUGACGCUCAUACACGAGAGCGUGGGGAGCAAACAGGAUUAGAUACCCUGGUAGUC